ensembl:snoRNA
CCUGCUCAUAGGAGCAUCACAGGUGUGACACUCGAGUCACUCGUGUGUCAGUAGGUGGCAGAGAGGAGAAAGACUAUGUAUAAGCUCAGUUUUGUGACCUAUGAACAACUGAAUGAUUAGUAGCCUAACAUU